AAAAUUUCAUAUUCGGUGGCAUGGGCCGUACAGAGUCAUUGAGGGUUUUCCCAAUGGCUCAGUCCAAUUGGAAGACUUUAUGGGUGCUAAAUUUACCAUGCAUAUAAAUGGGAAUCGGCUACGUCUGUAUGCUACAUAAACCCGAUACGAGUUUUAUAUCGGUGGGGGGGGAGAGAGAAAGCCAAUUUAGUAUUGAAGUAACAGUGCAAGAGUUGUGAUGGGAAGGAAAGAGCGUGUGAUGAUGAAAUUAUAGAUGGGUUGAGUGAUGGUGAGCC
rnacentral:lncRNA from 1 species